rnacentral:rRNA from 1 species
UGCUUAACACAUGCAAGUCGAACGAAGAAGGUUAGGAUGAGAGCUUCGGCAGGAUUUUUAUCUAUCUUAGUGGCGGACGGGUGAGUAACGUGUGGGCAACCUGCCCUGUACUGGGGAAUAAUCAUUGGAAACGAUGACUAAUACCGCAUGUGGUCCUCGGAAGGCAUCUUCUGAGGAAGAAAGGAUUUAUUCGGUACAGGAUGGGCCCGCAUCUGAUUAGCUAGUUGGUGAGAUAACAGCCCACCAAGGCGACGAUCAGUAGCCGACCUGAGAGGGUGAUCGGCCACAUUGGGACUGAGACACGGCCCAAACUCCUACGGGAGGCAGCAGUGGGGAAUAUUGCACAAUGGGCGAAAGCCUGAUGCAGCAACGCCGCGUGAAGGAUGAAGGGUUUCGGCUCGUAAACUUCUAUCAAUAGGGAAGAAACAAAUGACGGUACCUAAAUAAGAAGCCCCGGCUAACUACGUGCCAGCAGCCGCGGUAAUACGUAGGGGGCAAGCGUUAUCCGGAAUUACUGGGUGUAAAGGGAGCGUAGGCGGCAUGGUAAGCCAGAUGUGAAAGCCUUGGGCUUAACCCGAGGAUUGCAUUUGGAACUAUCAAGCUAGAGUACAGGAGAGGAAAGCGGAAUUCCUAGUGUAGCGGUGAAAUGCGUAGAUAUUAGGAAGAACACCAGUGGCGAAGGCGGCUUUCUGGACUGAAACUGACGCUGAGGCUCGAAAGCGUGGGGAGCAAACAGGAUUAGAUACCCCUGGUAGUCCACGCCGUAAACGAUGAGUGCUAGGUGUCGGGGAGGAAUCCUCGGUGCCGCAGCUAACGCAAUAAGCACUCCACCUGGGGAGUACGACCGCAAGGUUGAAACUCAAAGGAAUUGACGGGGGCCCGCACAAGCGGUGGAGCAUGUGGUUUAAUUCGAAGCAACGCGAAGAACCUUACCAAGGCUUGACAUCCCGAUGACCGUCCUAGAGAUAGGACUUCUCUUCGGAGCAUCGGUGACAGGUGGUGCAUGGUUGUCGUCAGCUCGUGUCGUGAGAUGUUGGGUUAAGUCCCGCAACGAGCGCAACCCUUAUCUUCAGUAGCCAUCAUUCAGUUGGGCACUCUGGAGAGACUGCCGUGGAUAACACGGAGGAAGGUGGGGAUGACGUCAAAUCAUCAUGCCCCUUAUGUCUUGGGCUACACACGUGCUACAAUGGCUGGUAACAAAGUGACGCAAGACGGUGACGUUAAGCAAAUCACAAAAACCCAGUCCCAGUUCGGAUUGUAGUCUGCAACUCGACUACAUGAAGCUGGAAUCGCUAGUAAUCGCGAAUCAGCAUGUCGCGGUGAAUACGUUCCCGGGCCUUGUACACACCGCCCGUCACACCAUGGGAGUUGGAAGCACCCGAAGUCGGUGACCUAACCGUAAGGAAGGAGCCGCCGAAGGUGAAGCCAGUGACUGGGGC